CAGCAGCCGCGGGAAUACGUAGGUGGCAAGCGUUAUCCGGAAUUAUUGGGCGUAAAGCGCGCGUAGGCGGUUUUUUAAGUCUGAUGUGAAAGCCCACGGCUCAACCGUGGAGGGUUAUUGGAAACUGGAAAACUUGAGUGCAGAAGAGGAAAGUGGAAUUCCAUGUGUAGCGGUGAAAUGCGCAGAGAUAUGGAGGAACACCAGUGGCGAAGGCGGCUUUCUGGUCUGCAACUGACGCUGAUGUGCGAAAGCGUGGGGAUCAAACAGGAUUAGAUACCCCCGUAGUCCCUGUCUCUUAUAC
rnacentral:rRNA from 1 species